GACGAACGCUGGCGGCGUGCUUAACACAUGCAAGUCGAACGGAAAGGCCCUGCUUUUGUGGGGUGCUCGAGUGGCGAACGGGUGAGUAACACGUGAGUAACCUGCCCUUGACUUUGGGAUAACUUCAGGAAACUGGGGCUAAUACCGGAUAGGAGCUCCUGCUGCAUGGUGGGGGUUGGAAAGUUUCGGCGGUUGGGGAUGGACUCGCGGCUUAUCAGCUUGUUGGUGGGGUAGUGGCUUACCAAGGCUUUGACGGGUAGCCGGCCUGAGAGGGUGACCGGCCACAUUGGGACUGAGAUACGCCCAAGACUCCAACGGGAGGCAGUAGUGGAGAAUAUUGCACAAUGGGCGGAAGCCUGAUGCAGCAACGCCGCGUGCGGGAUGACGGCCCUCGGGUUGUAAACCGCUUUCGCCUGUGACGAAGCGUGAGUGACGGUAAUGGGUAAAGAAGCACCGGCUAACUACGUG
rnacentral:rRNA from 1 species